AGACAUCCAGAUUUGAACUGGGGACCCCUUGAUCUGUAGUCAAAUGUUCUACCAAUAUCCUAUAAUGGGC
rnacentral:sRNA from 1 species